GACGGAGGGCGCAAGCGUUGUUCGGAAUUACUGGGCGUAAAGCGCGGGCAGGCGGUCCUUUAAGUCCUUUGUGAAAUUCCGGGGCUCAACUCCGGAGGUGCAGAGGAUACUGGAGGACUAGAGACCGGUAGAGGCUGGCGGAAUUCCUGGUGUAGCGGUGGAAUGCGUAGAUAUCAGGAAGAACACCGGUGGCGAAGGCGGCCAGCUGGGCCGGUUCUGACGCUCAUCCGCGAAAGCGUGGGGAGCAAACAGG
rnacentral:misc_RNA from 1 species